rnacentral:rRNA from 1 species
UAGGGAAUUUUCGGCAAUGGGGGAAACCUUGACCGAGCAACGCCGCGUGAACGAAGAAGUUCUUCGGAAUGUAAAGUUCUUUUAUCUGGGAAGAAAAAUAACCAAAUUGACGGUACCAGAUGAAUAAGCCCCGGCUAACUAUGUGCCAGCAGCCGCGGUAAUACAUAGGGGGCGAGCGUUAUCCGGAUUUACUGGGUGUAAAGGGAGCGUAGACGGAAGAGCAAGUCUGAUGUGAAAGGCUGGGGCUUAACCCCAGGACUGCAUUGGAAACUGUUUUUCUAGAGUGCCGGAGAGGUAAGCGGAAUUCCUAGUGUAGCGGUGAAAUGCUUAGAGAUCGCGCAGAACUCCGAUUGCGAAGGCAGCAUGCCGGCGCCUUACUGACGCUCAUGCACGAAAGCGUGGGGAUCGAACAGGAUUAGAUACCC